AAACUCUCAAAUUCCUUCCAAAAUCCUCUCAAUUUCCUUCAAAAAAUCUCCAAAUCCAUAUUAAAUUUCUUUUUCCAUUAAAUUUCAUUUUUUAAGAAAAUUUUAAAUUUUUUUAUUUUUUAUAAAUAAUUUUAAAAUUUUUAAUAUUUUCAACAAUGGCCGGAUCAUUGAUUCGUCUUGAUAGGAAUCACAUAUCGGUGGAGCAAAUGAACAUGGUAAGUAUUAAAUUUAUAUUUUAAAUUUUUUUAAGAUAUUUUUAUUUAUGUAUUUUUAGAUAUUUAUUAAUAUAUUUUUUGUUAUAAAAGGCUGAAGAUC
rnacentral:lncRNA from 1 species